rnacentral:rRNA from 1 species
GACGAACGCUGGCGGCAUGCCUAAUACAUGCAAGUCGAGCGAACAGAUGAAGUGCUUGCGCUUCUGACGUUAGCGGCGAACGGGUGAGUAACACGUAAGGAAUCUACCUAUAAGCGGGGGAUAACAUUCGGAAACGGGUGCUAAUACCGCAUAAUAUCUUCUUCCGCAUGGAAGAAGAUUGAAAGACGGCUCUGCUGUAACUGAUAGAUGACCUGGCGUUGCAUUAGUUAGCUGGUGGGGUAAUGGCCUACCAAGACGAUGAGGCAUUGCCGACCUAAGAGGUUGAGCGACCAGAUUGUGACUGAGACACGGCCCAAAAUACUACGGGAGGCAGCAGUAGGGAAGCUUCCGCAAUGGUGGAAAGCCUGACGGAGCAAUGCCGCGUGAGUGAAGAAGGCCUUCGGGUCGUAAAGCUCUGUUAUAAGAGAAGAACAAAUUGUAGAGUAACUGCUACAGUCUUGACGGUAUCUUAUCAGAAAGCCACGGCUAACUACGUGCCAGCAGCCGCCGUAA